GAUGAACGCUGGCGGCGUGCCUAAUACAUGCAAGUCGAGCGAAUGGAUUAAGAGCUUGCUCUUAUGAAGUUAGCGGCGGACGGGUGAGUAACACGUGGGUAACCUGCCCAUAAGACUGGGAUAACUCCGGGAAACCGGGGCUAAUACCGGAUAACAUUUUGAACCGCAUGGUUCGAAAUUGAAUGGGGGCUUCGGCUGUCACUUAUGGAUGGACCCGCGUCGCAUUAGCUAGUUGGUGAGGUAACGGCUCACCAAGGCAACGAUGCGUAGCCGACCUGAGAGGGUGAUCGGCCACACUGGGGCUGAGACACGGCCCAGACUCCUACGGGAGGCAGCAGUAGGGAAUCUUCCGCAAUGGACGAAAGUCUGACGGAGCAACGCCGCGUGAGUGAUGAAGGCUUUCGGGUCGUAAAACUCUGUUGUUAGGGAAGAACAAGUGCUAGUUGAAUAAGCUGGCACCUUGACGGUACCUAACCAGAAAGCCACGGCUAACUACGUGCCAGCCGCCGCCGUAA
rnacentral:rRNA from 1 species